CUAAUACUCCCUCCGUCUCAAAAUUCUUGUCUUAGAUUUGUCUAGAUAUAAAUAUAUCUAGUCACAUUUUAGCAUUCUAAUGCAUUCAUUUUUAAACAAUCCUAAGACAAGAAUUUUGGGACGGAGGAAGUAGAUA
rnacentral:pre_miRNA from 1 species